CUGAUAUUCUAAACAAGAAAAUAUAUUUAAUAUGUAAGUUUAAUCGUAAAAUUAUUUUAUUAGUCGGAAACAUCUUACAAUGCAGCAAACUCAGGAAUGUCCCUUUAACAGCUGUUGGUUAAAAUUUUGCUGUGGUGACGUUAAACUCUCAAUAUUCCUUUCCCUUUCAGUACAGAAAUUUUCCUGUGUGGCGUGUAGGUCGCCGGUUUGGGCGAGACCAUACUGUCCGUGCGGUAACGCGCUCGAUAAAUGGGGCUGUCCGACCGUAUGUUGCAGGAGCUGUAAAGUGUCUGCCUGGUGUGACCCUCACACGAUAAAGUACUGCCCUCUCAAGUGUCUCGCCGGUUACUGCCACCACCUCAACAACGGCUGCCCCACUUGUAAGUGCAGGUUACCGUACUGAGCUGCAGGUUACCGCACUGAGCUGCAGGUUACCGUACUGAGCUGCUGGCUGGGAGUCUCGAGAAACCUGGGUUCCAAAAACAAAUCCGUCUCAGUAGUCGACCUCCUGGGUCCAUGAAGUGAACGUGUGUAAAUGUGUUUGAAUGUUUGAAAGAAUAAAUAAAUAUUUUUCAAUAAAAAAAAAAAAAAAACCCUA
rnacentral:lncRNA from 1 species